CUGGUCAGCUACCGUCAUAGAAAAAGCAUUGCCUCUUUCUCCUGUUCUUUGCUGACAACAGAGCUUUACGAUCCGAAAACCUUCUUCACUCACGCGGCGUUGCUCGGUCAGACUUGCGUCCAUUGCCGAAGAUUCCCUACUGCUGCCUCCCGUAGGAGUCUGGGCCGUGUCUCAGUCCCAGUGUGGCCGAUCACCCUCUCAGGUCGGCUAUGCAUCGUUGCUUUGGUGAGCCGUUACCUCACCAACUGGCUAAUGCACCGCGGGACCAGCCAUCAGUGACGCUGUAAAGCGCCUUUGAGCUUUCUUUCAGGUGAAAAAAAGCCAUAUGCGGUAUUAGCACCUGUUUCCAAGUGUUAUCCCCCGCUGAUAGAUAGGUUCCCCACGUGUUACUCACCCGUCCGCCACUCCUCUUAAGAAAAAACCGAAGUUUCUUCUUAAGCAGC
rnacentral:rRNA from 1 species